GCAGAAGGAGAAAAUGGAGUUGUUUCUGAAUAAGCUCUUAGUUAAAUCUACAUAAGAUUUAUUUGUGUUUGUGAGGGAAGCAGUUGCAAAACAUUUGGCGACGAGAUUUUGAACUAGUGAAGCAUGUGAGGCUGCAUAGCUUGUGAAUGUUCCUGCAACUUUAGUUCAUUAUAUCACUGGGCCUUCAUUCCUGAACUGCUUUGUACUAUCGCUGCUGCUGAUUGUUUCUCCAGUUUCCAGGGCCUUUCUACAGCAGGCUUUACCAUAGGUUUAAGAGGGGAGAAAUACUGUGAGUUAUGGGGCAUAUCAGAUAUUUCAAAUGUACCCAAAAAUCCGAGGCAAAAAGUGGAUUUUUUUUUUUACCCCAGACAUAAAUCAGUCUAGGCUCCAAUGCACAAUGAAAAACCCAAAUUGAGUAUGGGUAUGGAGUGCUCCCCAAUGCUUGCGAGGACUUCUAUAUAAAUCUGGACAAUAUGUGAACACACAACUGCCUUUCCAAAUUAAAAUCACCAUCUGGCAGGGCUCCUGACCUGCACAACCCCUGAAAAUAUUUUUCCCCCUUAUCAAUCCUGGACUCUGUCAUUCACUGGAUGCCCACUGCAACAUGGCUCAGAUCCCACCACAACUGUUUUUCUUGUCUACCCCAGGAGAACCUGCUCUUCCCUGGAAACAACAGAAGUCCUAGUUCUGCAAUUACCUCCUCACCAUACAGACCCCUGAUUUUACUCCAGCAAAGCAGAAGGUUAUAUUGCUUCACUGUCUGAGCCCUGGAGGCCAAAGAAAAUAUAAUCAUUUGCCCUUUCCUGCCAACUUGGAAGAGGAUGCCAGUUCUUAUGAAGCUGCUCUUCAAGCCUUAGAUGAUCAUUUCAACCUUGCUUUGAAUGUGAUAGCUGAACAUUGCAAGCUCUAUUCUAGAUCCGAACUGCCUGAGAAAUGUCAGUUUUGCACACACUUUGUGACAUACUUGGGACACACAAUAUGUCAGAGUGGCUUACAUCCAAAGAAAGGUGAAAGCUAUCCGGGAAGCACCACAGCCACACCACAAGGAUGCACUUCACUUGUACUUUAAGUACUCUGUGGAAUAUCUUCCAGAUCUUCAGAAUACAACUGCAGAUGAUUUAUCUCAACUUCCACUUCCAGGCUAUGGGGAGAUCCCAGAAGAUGAAGAUAAAGCAGUAGUAAUUGCACAAAUUGCUUCGUCGACCCGUUGAGUGAUUACGUCUUCUGAAUGGAAAGCGGCCCUCAGUUCUGAUCAAGUGUUUACUGAACUUGAUUUUAUGAUCAAGUACUUGAUCUUAUGUACUUGAUCAAAUAUUUAUGAACCUAACAUAACUAAUGGAUGGUCAUGCAAAAACAAGUACCUGAACAUCUUCAACUAUACAUGCACGUAGUAAGUGAGCUGUCUCUUCUGAAUGAGCUAGUGCUGCAGACUGAUUGUUUUAUGGUGCCAACUUCCUUACAAGCAAAAGGAAUCAAAAUUGCCCACAAAGGUCAUCUGGGCCUUUUCUUGAUUAAAAGGCGAAUCUGAAAAAGGUUUUUGGUGGCCAGGUAUGGACAAACACAUUGAAAAUGUAAUCAGGCACUGUAUGGCUUGCAAAUUACAGAAGACUUUUACCACCUCCUUGACUCCAGUAGAGUAUCCCAGUGGUCCCUGGGAAAAACCUGCUCUGGAUAUUAUGGGGCCUUUUGAUAACCAACCUGCAAAACCAAGAUUUGUUAUAGUGAUGGUGGAUUACUGUUCCAGUGGCCAGAAGCUUCAUUUGCUGACAACAUUUCUACAAACAAGGAGAUUCAGUUCAUGGCUGCAGCUUUUGCAAGGGGAGGUCUUCCUAAAAAAACUAGUGACUGACAAUGGGACACAGCUUAUUUUAUUUGAAAUGGAGUGAUACUUGCAUAACCCAGGAGGGAGGGAUCACAAGUCUCUUUCCUUGUACCAUCCUCAUGAAAAUGGCUUAAUGGAAAGAAUGAACACAUUAAUGAAAUGGAGUGGAACUGGAUUGGAAUUUGAUCUUUCCUCCAGUUUUUACCUCAUAGAUUAGACUGAUGAAAGUGAUGGACAAUCCUUGGUACCACAGCUCCUGUGCCAGAGAACUCAAGACUUAGAGAAGGGUGUGUGGCAGGAGACUACCUAAAAGACUUCAAGACUUUGUCACUGAAUUUUAAAUUAAUUCAGUUUUGGUUGAUAUAGAGGGAAGGGAUGUGUUGUAUUCUAUUUAGAAAUCUUUUAUGUUGAGUUGUUGAGAAGGUUGUCCCAGGGAUCAUGUAGAGAGUGUGGGGGGUAGAGGCAGUAAUGAGAAGGGUGGGAAAGGAGAAGGAAGAAAGAGAGUUGUUUCUGAAUAAACUUUUAGUUAAAUCUACAUAAGAUUUCUUUGUAUCUGUGAGGGAAGCAACUAUAAAACAGAGGUAUACAAGUGAGGCUUUUCAUCUUCCUACAAAAUAAUGAAGCAUGAAUGACUAUUUCAUUUUAUAAAUAAGAUUAUGGAAGAGUUAUAUAGGCAAUUGCAUGUGUUUGGCAAACCCCCAAGUUAAAAUCAUUCUAGUCUCCUCUAUAAACAGUUCCAUUGUUGGCUACCAAGAAAAGAUGAUUUUUUUUAAAACAACCCUAUGAGGCUGUUCUCACAUGCAGCCUAACCCAGGCUAGAGAAGCCCAGCCUGGGUUAGGCUGCGCGUGAGAACCACCGGGAUUGGGCCCAAUCCCAGUGGGGCAGUGCUGCCUAGCUUGGUUUUUUAGACUGGCCUUUAGCCUGGGUUAAUGAUGUCAAUGUGCUGUUAGCCUACGCUCCAGGAUUGUGUGUCUCCUAGGGCUUUGCUUAACCUGUGG